rnacentral:rRNA from 1 species
CGGCUCUAGUGGCGAACGGCGGAGUAAUACGUGAACAACGUGCCCCUAAGUCCGGGACAAACGCAGAAAUGCCAUAAAUACCGGAUGUGGUCAGGAUGAUGCAUAUCGAUCUGAUUAAAGGUUUUUCGCUUAGGGAGCGGUUCACGGCCUAUCAGCUAGUUGGCGGGGUAAAAGCCCACCAAGGCGACGACGGGUAGGGGGUCUAAGAGGAUGAUCCCCCCGAGUGGGACUGAGACACGGCCCACACACCUACGGGUGGCAGCAGUUGGGAAUCUUGCACAAUGGGGGAAACCCUGAUGCAGCGACGCCGCGUGGAGGAUGAAUGGUCUAGGCCUGUAAACUCCUUUUACCAGGAAAGACUUAGGACGGUACCUGGUGAAUAAGCCCCGGCUAACUACGUGCCAGCAGCCGCGGUAAGACGUAGGGGGCAAGCGUUGUCCGGAUUUACUGGGCGUAAAGGGCGCGUAGGCGGCCUGUUAAGUGUGAAGUGAAAUCUCCAGAGCUCAACUCGGAAACGGCUUCGCAUACUGGCAGGCUUGAGGAAUGCAGAGGUGAAUAGAAUUCCUGGUGUGGCGGUGAAAUGCGUAGAUAUCAGGAGGAAUACCCAUGGCGAAGGCAGUUCACUGGGCAUUAUCUGACGCUGAGGCGCGAAAGCGUGGGGAGCAAACAGGAUUAGAUACCCUGGUAGUCCACGCCCUAAACGAUGGAUGCUAGACGUAAGAGGUAUCGACCCCUCUUGUGUCGCAGCUAACGCAUUAAGCAUCCCGCCUGGGGAGUACGGCCGCAAGGUUGAAACUCAAAUGAAUUGACGGGGACCCGCACAAGCGGUGGAGCAUGUGGAUUAAUUCGAUACUAACCGA